CCAUUAGUUUCUCUUCAGCUCGGUAAAGGGUGUCUAUAUGUGAAAGACUUACAAAGCGACUCUCACGAGUAAUCUAACGGCUACCUAACGAGAUAAUUUGAUAUUACUCGAUGCUCUCGCGAAUAUACGGUUUGAGUGGUGAGUUUCAAGAUGAAAGACCACGUGCAUAUGUCUCUAUUCUAUAUGUUAUCGAUACUUCGAAAAAGGAUGACUAUAAUCGAAUGUUGAACGAUCCUGUAAAAAACGGUGAUGUAACUCUCUCUCUCUCUCUCCCUGUAUUCGAACUCAUUUAGAAACUAGUAUUUCCUUUCUUCUGGCUGAAAAGAUCAUCGAUGUCACGCGGGAUCCUUGAAGCAGGAGCUAUUAUGGCCGGUCAAGCCUACGCUCUAGGCCAGGGGCUAGGCUAGGCUAUUUCCGCUGUUUAGCUUAUGGACAAAAAUAGUCGUUGAGAGCCGAGUAAAUUCGCCUUCGAAUUUACUGGGACUUUUAGAAAGAAUAAGGACAAUGAGCAGAAAAGCACAGAAUUUGGCAAUAGAUCUUUAACGAAAAUUUGUGCAAAGAGAAUUUCGAAACAACGAGAAGACCGAGAUAUUUUAAAUCGUCCACUUGUUGGCAGUAGUUACGUUGCAACAGUGAAAUCGUUCGUCUUGAGCUAUCCGAUGGAUAGAUAGAUUUGCGGCAUAAUUUUGGCAAGCUUCUAAUGGCACUUAUAGCUGAUUGUCCACACGAGUGACGAGUUUUUGCAUUGCUAAAACGGGAAAAAGAAUGAAACGAAGAGCGAGUAAGUCGAGUUUUAAAGCGAACUCGAUAUAAUAUUGUCACAUUGAUGUCUACAAUAUUAUUUUAUCUUCUUUCUUUUUAUUUUAUACACAUACGCACACACAGAGGGAGAGAGAGAGAGAGAGAAUAUUAAAAAUAUAAUAAGAAAAGGUGUGGUGUCGAUCCCUCUUGUGCUUACAAUAUCGAGAAUAAUAAAAGCAUGCUUUAGUGUGCCAAAACACUCAACAAAGUUAUGAUAUAUAUCGUUACGUGCCGACUAACUACUAAGAGUCAACAAUGUAAGGAAGUACAUUGCUAAGGAAUCUGCGAUAGAAGAUACUUCGAGAUAUUGUCGAUCUUUCUAAAAUAAAAUAAUUUUCUAUUUCUCGCCGUUCGUAGAUUAGACAAAGAUGAAAAUUAAUAAAGAGAUUAAUUGGAAGAUACUUCGAGAUAUUGUCGUUCUUUCGAAAAUAAAAUAAUUUCUUAUUUCUCGCCGUUCGUAGAUUAGACGAAGAUGAAAAUUAAUAAAGAGAUUAAUUGUAAAACGAAUAAAAUGGAGAAUUUCUUUCUUCAAAUUUUUUACCCCAAAUUCUUAAUAACUUUGGAUCUUCAGGGAAAUUUCCAAAGGAAUUUUCGUCUCGGUCGUGACGUCACAAACGUAUUAUUAUUUGGCACGGUUAAAACGUGACGUCGCAGCUCGAUGAAAGGCCGAACAUCGAGAAAAAGAGAGAGAGAGAGAGAGAGAGAGAGAGAGAUACAAAAAGAAAGAGAGAAAAAGAGAGAGACAGAGAGAAAUAGAAAAAGAGAAAAAGAGAAAGAGAGAGAGAAAAAAAAUAUGAUAGAUGGACGUGCGUGGCGAUCGACGUGUCAGAGUAGGAGGGAUAAUUGGAUUUUUCAAAAGAACGUCUCUUUGGCAAGCCGAGAGCACUUCCUCGGCUCGAGACAAGCUUUGGCCGAGUUUGAGAAGCGUCGAGCUCGAGAACGAGUCAUAAUAAUAACGUCUCAUGCAAGGAUUCCGCCGCUUGUGAUUCCUAUCUUAAAUUUAAAUAGAAUAGUAGUGGUGGUGCCUGUUGGUGGUGCUGAUGCUGUUGCUAUUCCUACUGCUACUGCUGUUGGUGGUGAUAGUGGUCACCGUAGUUAAAACGUACGAAGAAGAUAUCACGUGCAACAAAGUAACAAUUCGUAAAUGCAACGACGAGUAGACGCGACUGCCCUUGGAGAGGAUCCAAAAUAGGUCUGCCACCUUGCUUCGAAACAGCU